rnacentral:lncRNA from 1 species
GCUUGGUGUCCCAGGUUGCUACACUCCCGAAGUGAAUGGAUUUAUCGCUGUUAGGGCCUUUUUGUUUAGGGCCUAACAAAUAUUGUUAGUUUUGCCGAGAGCUGGCGCCGAGCCCUGCCCUCGUGGUGGGCCGUACCCACGCCCCCUGAGCGCGGAGUCGCGUGGCUCCGGAGUUUUGUUUUUUUGAAAGGAGUCUCCCAAUUGUCCGUGGAGUUUUUUUUGCGGCACAUGGAGUCUCUGCCUUCGCGACCCAGACCUUUGAUGUGAACACCUGCUCCCGUUACGCUCGGGUCCAGCGUCCGGGGCGGGGCUCGAGGCCGGGUGGAGGAGGGGUGGGGGCGGGGGUCUUGGUCUUGGGUGAGACCUGCAGAUACGGUCGGGCUGAAGGAGUAGAACUGGCUUCUAAAUGCCGGAAAAUCCGAAGGAACUGACUGCAGAAGGAGGAAUUUCUAGGUUUUGAUCUCUGUCAAUAAGAUGCACUCCAGGAAGAGAGUUACAGUCCUCUCCCACACUGGAUAUUGGAUAUCAUUUUCUUCCAUCUCUCUAAAGGGGAAUAAGACCUUUCUCACAAAGUUAUUGUGAAGUUCAAGUGAAGUGAGGACAAAGUGCUACACAAAAGUCCUGCCCUUUUGUCUCAGGAUAAUAUAUUUUGCAAGUCCUAUUGAGGUGGGAAGUUAAAGAAAAAAUUAAAAAGAGAAGUAAGUUUUCCUGUAUUAGGCUGACUUGUUCCAGAGGCAGCAAUGGGCACAGCCCAGACCCAGGGAAAGUCUUGAUAAUACUAUCUAAGGAGCCAGGACACAAAGGAAUGUGCUCUGGAGACUCUCCCAGCACUCCCUCCACAUAGGGAGAAGAAAAACAAAUUUUCCUUUGUUUUAUGGUAUGAGUUUAUGAAAAUUCCUGUUCUCUGUAACUGGUGACUUCAGGUAUUCUGUUUUAUCUAAGCAGUAGAGUGAAGGUCAUAAACUGUCUGAGCAGGCCACCUGGACGCUAUAGUGAAGGUCAUGGAAUAAGCCGUGCUAGGCACUAGGCAAACCUAGAUAAUGGACAUCUGGGUUGCAUAGCAAUGGUCAUGUGUAAUCCUGAGUUAUGAACCUGUUACAGUUUAAUUAACUGUCUUUGUCCUGCCUCUGUAUCCCUGCUUUCAUGCCACUGUAAGCCGGCUUCAGGCUGGUCCACACCCCUUUUUGAGGUGUGUAUAAAAGUCAAGUGCUGUCUUUGUUCUGGGCCCGGUCUUUGGAUGUUAAGUCUGCUGGGUCUGAGUGCACUCAAU